rnacentral:sRNA from 1 species
CGGCGAUGUCGCUCGUGCUGCUAAGCCUGGCCGCGCUGUGCAGGAGCGCCGUACCCCGAGAGCCGACCGUUCAAUGUGGCUCUGAAACUGGGCCAUCUCCAGAGUGGAUGCUACAACAUGAUCUAAUCCCCGGAGACUUGAGGGACCUCCGAGUAGAACUUGUUACAACUAGUGUUGCAACAGGGGACUAUUCAAUUUUGAUGAAUGUAAGCUGGGUACUCCGGGCAGAUGCCAGCAUCCGCUUGUUGAAGGCCACCAAGAUUUGUGUGACGGGCAAAAGCAACUUCCAGUCCUACAGCUGUGUGAGGUGCAAUUACACAGAGGCCUUCCAGACUCAGACCAGACCCUCUGGUGGUAAAUGGACAUUUUCCUACGUCGGCUUCCCUGUAGAGCUGAACACAGUCUAUUUCAUUGGGGCCCAUAAUAUUCCUAAUGCAAAUAUGAAUGAAGAUGGCCCCUCCAUGCCUGUGAAUUUCACCUCACCAGGCUGCCUAGACCACAUAAUGAAAUAUAAAAAAAAGUGUGUCAAGGCCGGAAGCCUGUGGGAUCCGAACAUCACUGCUUGUAAGAAGAAUGAGGAGACAGUAGAAGUGAACUUCACAACCACUCCCCUGGGAAACAGAUACAUGGCUCUUAUCCAACACAGCACUCACAGCACUGUCAUCGGGUUUUCUCAGGUGUUUGAGCCACACCAGAAGAAACAAACGCGAGCUUCAGUGGUGAUUCCAGUGACUGGGGAUAGUGAAGGUGCUAUGGUGCAGGUAAAGUUCAGUGAGCUGCUCUGGGGAGGGAAGGGACAUAGAAGACUGUUCCAUCAUUCAUUGCUUUUAAGGAUGAGUUCUCUCUUGUCAAAUGCACUUCUGCCAGCAGACACCAGUUAAGUGGCGUUCACGGGGGCUCUUUCGCUGCAGCCUCCACCGUGCUGAGGUCAGGAGGCCGACGUGGCAGUUGUGGUCCCUUUUGCUUGUAUUAAUGGCUGCUGACCUUCCAAAGCACUUUUUAUUUUCAUUUUCUGCCACAGACACUCAGGGAUAGCAGUACCAUUUUACUUCCGCAAGCCUUUAACUGCAAGAUGAAGCUGCAAAGGGUUUGAAAUGGGAAGGUUUGAGUUCCAGGCAGCAUAUGAACUCUGGAGAGGGGCUGCCAGUCCUCUCUGGGCCGCAGCGGACCCAGCUGGAACACAGGAAGUUGGAGCAGUAGGUGCUCCUUCACCUCUCAGUAUGUCUCUUUCAACUCUAGUUUUUGAGGUGGGGACACAGGAGGUCCAGUGGGACACAGCCACUCCCCAAAGAGUAAGGAGCUUCCAUGCUUCAUUCCCUGGAAUAAAAAGUGCUCAAACACACCAGAGGGGGCAGGCACCAGCCAGGAUAUGAUGGCUACUACCCUUUUCUGGAGAACCAUAGACUUCCCUUACUACAAGGACUUGCAUGUCCUAAAGCACUGGCUGAAGGAAGCCAAGAGGAUCACUGCUGCUCCUUUUUUCUAGAGGAAAUGUUUGUCUACGUGGUAAGAUAUGACCUAGCCCUUUUAGGUAAGCGAACUGGUAUGUUAGUAACGUGUACAAAGUUUAGGUUCAGACCCCGGGAGUCUUGGGCAUGUGGGUCUUGGGUCACUGGUUUUGACUUUAGGGCUUUGUUACAGAUGUGUGACCAAGGGGAAAAUGUGCAUGACAACACUAGAGGUAGGGGUGAAGCCAGAAAGAAGGGACGUUUUGGCGGAAGUAGGAGUCAUGGUGAGAUUUUGCUCUGAUGCAUGGUGUGAACUAUCUAAGCCUCUUGUUUUUCCUCAGCUGACUCCAUAUUUUCCCACUUGUGGCAGCGAUUGCAUCCGACAUAAAGGAAUAGUUGUGCUCUGCCCACAAACAGGCGUCCCUUUCCCUCUGGAUAACAACAAAAGCAAGCUGGGAGGCUGGCUGCCUCUCCUCCUGCUGUCUCUGCUGGUGGCCACAUGGGUGCUGGUGGCAGGGAUCUAUCUAAUGUGGAGGCACGAAAGGAUCAAGAAGACUUCCUUUUCUACCACCACACUACUGCCCCCCAUUAAGGUUCUUGUGGUUUACCCAUCUGAAAUAUGUUUCCAUCACACAAUUUGUUACUUCACUGAAUUUCUUCAAAACCAUUGCAGAAGUGAGGUCAUCCUUGAAAAGUGGCAGAAAAAGAAAAUAGCAGAGAUGGGUCCAGUGCAGUGGCUUGCCACUCAAAAGAAGGCAGCAGACAAAGUCGUCUUCCUUCUUUCCAAUGACGUCAACAGUGUGUGCGAUGGUACCUGUGGCAAGAGCGAGGGCAGUCCCAGUGAGAACUCUCAAGACCUCUUCCCCCUUGCCUUUAACCUUUUCUGCAGUGAUCUAAGAAGCCAGAUUCAUCUGCACAAAUACGUGGUGGUCUACUUUAGAGAGACUGAUACAAAAGACGAUUAUAAUGCUCUCAGUGUCUGCCCUAAGUACCACCUCAUGAAGGAUGCCACUGCUUUCUGUGCAGAACUUCUCCAUGUCAAGCAGCAGGUGUCAGCAGGAAAAAGAUCACAAGCCUGCCACGAUGGCUGCUGCUCCUUGUAGCCCACCCAUGAGAAGCAAGAGACCUUAAAGGCUUCCUAUCCCACCAAUUACAGGGAAAAAACGUGUGAUGAUCCUGAAGCUUACUAUGCAGCCUAAAAACAGCCUUAGUAAUUAAAACAUUUUAUACCAAUAAAAUUUUCAAAUAUUGCUAACUAAUGUAGCAUUAACUAAAGAUUGGAAACUACAUUUACAACUUCAAAGCUGUUUUAUACAUAGAAAUCAAUUACAGUUUUAAUUGAAAACUAUAACCAUUUUGAUAAUGCAACAAUAAAGUAUCUUC